UCUCCUUCCUUAAUGACUAGUACCCCUACAUUUCAGCUGGACCCAUGGCAACCUGUAAUGAAGAUUACAUAUUCCCUCCUUCAUCUUAAGUACGGCCAUUGCUCUGCCAAUUCUGGGCCUAGCCCUUAAGAGGACAGGCAGCGUCUGCCAAGGCCCCUUGGAUCCGUGCGCUGCCACGGAAAAGGUCAAGCCACUCUGUGGAAGAGACCACCUGGAGAGGUUCCACGACUGCAUGGCAAAGGAGAGGAACCUAUUCGAGCUCAGCAUCGCAGUCAUCCCCACAAAGCACCGGGCAUUCCAGGAUAGCCAUCUCGAGCCUCAGGACCCCGUCCAGAAUACCACAUUGCAUGUAGUCAUCAGGAUCCCAUCCAGAAUACCAGAUAUUGCAUUUAAUCACCCCAGCUCCUUAGGCUCCAUGUGGCUGUGACAGUUUCUUAAUUUCCUUGGUGUUUUGUUUUUUUGACAACCUUGACAGAUGACCAGCACUCCUCAAAUAAUCAGGUUUUCUGUAGAAGGCCCGUCAAUUUGAGUUUGUCCAGUGUUGUUCUCGUGAUCAGUCUGGAGUUAUGGGUUUUGAGGAAGACCUCAGAGGUAAAGUGUCUUGUCAAUGCGUUAUAUCAAGAGAACAUGCCAUCCACAUCACUUAUCAUAAUGAUGUUAACCUAAUCACCUAGCUAAGGUGCUGCUUGCCCGGUUUCUCCAGUGGAAUGCUACUCUUUCCUCCCCUUUUCCAUCCUGUUCUCUGUAAAAGGGAGUCGCUGUGCAGUGCCCACACUGAAGAGGUAGAGAACAACUCUCCACCUCCGCCUCAUUGCGGGGGCACUAGCAACAUACGUUCUUUGGAAUUCUUCUGUUUUGUGUUUAUUCUAUCAUUUAUUAUAUCAAUGUGGACUCGUGGAUAUUUGCUUUAUAUUUUGCACCAUCUACAUACUAUGUUAUUUCUUUUGUUGCCCAAAUGGUUCCAAUUUUGACUAUUAGGGCAAAUGUUGGCUCCUGUGUCUCUUUGUUACAUCCUCAUCACUUCCUUGCUCUCUGACACUCAUAAGAUGUUAUAUCUGAGUCUGCUUCUGAUGAUUGUUUUUUCUCUUGAGCCCAUAUUUGUUCUAUGCCCUUUGACAUGUGUGGAAGACUGGAUAACAGAUCGAGAGGGGGAAGAUAAUCCUGGAUUAUCCAGGUGGACUCUGAAUGCAACCACAUGAGUCUUUACAAGAGGAGGCAAAGGGAGCUUUGACACACAGAGGAGAAGGUGAUCUGACCAUGGAGAGAGAGAGUGAUUGGAGUAAUUCAACCAGAAGCCAAGGAAUGCCGGCCGCGACCGGAAGAGGCCAGGAUGGGAUUCGCCCCCAGAGCCUUCAGAGGAGUGCAGCCCUGCAGACACUUCGGGUUUAGCCCAGUGAUACUGACUGAUUUUGGAUUUCUGAUCUCCAGAGCAUAAGAGAAUAGAUUUCUGUUUUAAGCCACCAAACUUUGCGGUGACUUGUUACAACAGCCUCGGGAAGCUAAUACAGCCUGCCUUCUAAAUUUUUCUGG